ensembl:lncRNA
GCCUCGUGCCUCCCAGUUUUGUGCUUGUAGGAGGCAGUAAUGAACAAGCAGAUUAGUAUUUAAUACACUAAUCUGUACCGUGCUCUCUUCAAUAACGCUUUAAUUAUUUAGAUGGUCUUGAAGGCAGCCAACGUGCUUAAUACACUGUGCAGCGCAAUGUGCAAAUCACCGGAGCAAGGGAAAUUACAAGUCAAAGGAAAAUGAAUGGUCAGCUCACAGUCAGAGCCCACAGGUCUUCCACAAUGCCACUUGAUUACGAGCUGAAUAAUUUUCCUGGACAGCGACACUGAAGCUUUUAGUUUGUACGGGCAAAGGGCGUUUGAAAAUCUUGUACAUCCUGAACAUUUAAUUCUAAAGUUCCCCCUGGGGGGGAUGGCCUCUGUGAGCUUGACUAAAUCAAAAUGUUCUGGUUCAAGAAGGAAGAGAUACGUGGGGGAGGGGCCACAAACCAGGCUUCUGGAAAGCUCCUGGGAUUGUCUUCAGGGACCAAACCAGCUGAGGCUUUCUGUCACAGUUCCAGAAUGAAUAACUCACACAACUAAUUAAGGGUAGUCUCGAAUAAUUAACAUCUGUGCAACCAGACAAUUUUGCCUCCGGACCAUUGAGAAGCAAAUCCAAAAGUGAAUGAGCCCUGGGUGCCUCAGGGAGAAAUGCACCCUCCUUUGUACCCCACCACAGACGGUUCUGAGAGGCUUUUCAGGAGGCUCUUCAGAAGGUCCCAGCGGACCUUGCACUGUCACCAGGAGUGGCGGCUUUACAUUCUGUGUCCCACCUUCCAUGUAUCACUCCUCGUCUCUCACUCCCGCUCCCCGGGGGUCACUUCCCACCUUAACUACUCGUGCGUGCACAUGCGCAUGCGCAAAAACGUGCACACGCACGCGCUCGCGCGCGCGCACACAGACGCACGGGGUGAAUGGCGUGGUUUGGUACACCAAUGGUGCUUGCGAGGAGGAUUCAUGGAAUCAUGAGUAGUUUAGAUCUGUGUCUCUCCUCUGUGUACUGGCUUUGUCCCCAGAGUGACUCAGCUUAUCGUGCAGCAACGGCUGUAGAAGUUCCAGGCCACACAGCCUCCCACCACAUCCUCCAGCUAAAGUCCAGCGGAGCUCUGAGAGUUAACUGGCAGAGCAGUUUUGGCAGCUUACUUAAAGGGAAUUAGAAGACUCAAAAUGGCACUACACAAAUUACGGGACACGUACAACACCGUAGCUGCUACAGUCAACCUCAUCUUGUAAUGUCCAGAACACUAUUUGUCAUAUCAUCUCUUUGUGCUAUGCUGUGUUGCAAUUUGGGUAGAAUUGUCAUCAGCUCUCUUCUCUUAUAAAUGAAGAAAC